rnacentral:rRNA from 1 species
AGAGCGAACGCUGGCGGCAGGCUUAACACAUGCAAGUCGAGCGGGCGUAGCAAUACGUCAGCGGCAGACGGGUGAGUAACGCGUGGGAACGUACCUUUUGGUUCGGAACAACCCAGGGAAACUUGGGCUAAUACCGGAUAAGCCCUUACGGGGAAAGAUUUAUCGCCGAAAGAUCGGCCCGCGUCUGAUUAGCUAGUUGGUGAGGUAAUGGCUCACCAAGGCGACGAUCAGUAGCUGGUCUGAGAGGAUGAUCAGCCACAUUGGGACUGAGACACGGCCCAAACUCCUACGGGAGGCAGCAGUGGGAAUAUGGACAAUGGGCGCAAGCCUGAUCCAGCCAUGCCGCGUGAGUGAUGAAGGCCCUAGGGUUGUAAAGCUCUUUGUGCGGGAAGAUAAUGACGGUACCGCAAGAAUAACGCCCCGGCUAACUUCGCGCCAGCAGCCGC